rnacentral:rRNA from 1 species
AGCUUGCUUUUGAAGAUGACGAGCGGCGGACGGGUGAGUAAUGCCUGGGAAUAUGCCUUGAUGUGGGGGAUAACCAUUGGAAACGAUGGCUAAUACCGCAUAAUGCCUACGGGCCAAAGAGGGGGAUCUUCGGACCUCUCGCGUCAAGAUUAGCCCAGGUGGGAUUAGCUAGUUGGUGAGGUAAUGGCUCACCAAGGCGACGAUCCCUAGCUGGUCUGAGAGGAUGAUCAGCCACACUGGAACUGAGACACGGUCCAGACUCCUACGGGAGGCAGCAGUGGGGAAUAUUGCACAAUGGGCGCAAGCCUGAUGCAGCCAUGCCGCGUGUGUGAAGAAGGCCUUCGGGUUGUAAAGCACUUUCAGUCGUGAGGAAGGUAGUUGCGUUAAUAGCGUAAUUAUUUGACGUUAGCGACAGAAGAAGCACCGGCUAACUCCGUGCCAGCAGCCGCGGUAAUACGGAGGGUGCGAGCGUUAAUCGGAAUUACUGGGCGUAAAGCGCAUGCAGGUGGUUUGUUAAGUCAGAUGUGAAAGCCCGGGGCUCAACCUCGGAAUUGCAUUUGAAACUGGCAGACUAGAGUACUGUAGAGGGGGGUAGAAUUUCAGGUGUAGCGGUGAAAUGCGUAGAGAUCUGAAGGAAUACCGGUGGCGAAGGCGGCCCCCUGGACAGAUACUGACACUCAGAUGCGAAAGCGUGGGGAGCAAACAGGAUUAGAUACCCUGGUAGUCCACGCCGUAAACGAUGUCUACUUGGAGGUUGUGGCCUUGAGCCGUGGCUUUCGGAGCUAACGCGUUAAGUAGACCGCCUGGGGAGUACGGUCGCAAGAUUAAAACUCAAAUGAAUUGACGGGGGCCCGCACAAGCGGUGGAGCAUGUGGUUUAAUUCGAUGCAACGCGAAGAACCUUACCUACUCUUGACAUCCAGAGAAGCCAGCGGAGACGCAGGUGUGCCUUCGGGAACUCUGAGACAGGUGCUGCAUGGCUGUCGUCAGCUCGUGUUGUGAAAUGUUGGGUUAAGUCCCGCAACGAGCGCAACCCUUAUCCUUGUUUGCCAGCGAGUAAUGUCGGGAACUCCAGGGAGACUGCCGGUGAUAAACCGGAGGAAGGUGGGGACGACGUCAAGUCAUCAUGGCCCUUACGAGUAGGGCUACACACGUGCUACAAUGGCGCAUACAGAGGGCUGCCAACCAGCGAUGGUGAGCGAAUCCCAAAAAGUGCGUCGUAGUCCGGAUUGGAGUCUGCAACUCGACUCCAUGAAGUCGGAAUCGCUAGUAAUCGUGGAUCAGAAUGCCACGGUGAAUACGUUCCCGGGCCUUGUACACACCGCCCGUCACACCAUGGGAGUGGGCUGCAAAAGAAGUGGGUAGUUAACCUUC